GGAGGAGGAGGAUUCGACGAUUAUUGGCGCCGUGCUCGGGCCAGCCUCCUGGAAAGGUACAGGAAGCGGAUUUUUAUAAGUAUAAGGCAAAUGAUUAAGUCUGAUGACAUAUAAUGGCUGCCUUACUUCUGUGAGUCACCCGGCCGAUGGUUGUUGGAAAGGUACAAUCGAUGUGCCCAGGGUAGCCUGCAUCAAAAUCGGUUAGCUUUUUGUUAAGUAUUGAGAAAAUUGAGUUAAACAAAGACUCUCUACCUCAGUGGGAGGAAUUGUUGGCGUCCCUAUCUCUGCCUGGGAUGUAGCCGAUUACUGCAGAGGUUGCACUGGGGCGAUUUGCG
rnacentral:lncRNA from 1 species